UACGAAGGGGGCUAGCGUUGCUUGGAAUUACUGGGCGUAAAGGAAGCGUAGGCGGACAGUUUAGUCAGAGGUGAAAGCCCAGGGCUCAACCCUGGAAUUGCCUUUGAUACUGAUUGUCUUGAGUAUGGGAGAGGUGUGUGGAACUCCGAGUGUAGAGGUGAAAUUCGUAGAUAUUCGGAAGAACACCAGUGGCGAAGGCGACACACUGGCCCAUUACUGACGCUGAGGCUCGAAAGCGUGGGGAGCAAACAGG
rnacentral:rRNA from 1 species